CCGAAGAGGUCUGGCUGCUAAAAUAAACUCUGGAGCUUCUUUUAUGUUGUUGGUGAAGAGGUCUGGCUGCUAAAACAAACUCUGGAGAUGAUUUUAUGUCGUUGGUGAAGAGGUCUGGAUGCUAAAACAAACGUUGGAGCUGUUUUUUGGCGAACAGGAGGGAGACUGGACGCCGAACACACCUAAGGUUUACUCGUUCAGCUGAUGCUGCCUGGACCACCACCUGGAACACCAGCUCUCACCUUACAGACCAAACAGGUGUCACCACUUUGUCCAAGACAUUGUCCACGAUUGCAGAGACAUGGUCCAUGAUCGGAGAUGUCGUCAAUGAUCACAAAGUCUUCGUACAAUGAAGAAAUUCUUUGAGACCAGGACAGAGGCCUCGAGGUAAUUCAGACAGCUUUACAUCAACUGUCUAACACAGAGAACUGACAUUAAAUUGUGUAUGUUCAGCAUUCAGUAUAUCAAAAAGGUGUAAUAAGUAACCUACAAUUUAAAAAUAAUGUAUUAGUAAUCUGUAUUAAUAGAAGUAAUGUAAACGUAAUUUGUAAUAUCAGUAUAAGUCAAAGUAGUCAGAAGUAAAAAUGUCAUAGUACAGUAAAACAUAAUAUGUGUCAUGAAAAUGUAAAAAAAAAAAAAAAAAAGGUCAUAGUAUAUUACAGAUGAAAGAUGUAACAAAAUGUCAUGGCAUUGUAAGGCGUCAAAAACUGUCCAAAAAUGUCAUAGCAUCAUAAUCUUUGCCGUGGUUUGUUAAAUAUUGUCUAAAACAUAACUAAUAAAGUUUUGUGGCUUAAGUUUUUAGUUGAGUUUCUCUAUUUCUGAAUUAAUAUCACAAAUUUUUUUGUAAUGCAGAAAUGCCAACUAUUCUCUACUUGCAGCUUGCAAUCAAAAUUUAUAAUUGAGGCUGAAAACUCUAAUCUCUGGCUAAAAGCCCCAACCCUAACCUUCAGCUAACAGUGGCUAAAAGCUGUAACCCUAGCCCUAACCUCUCGCCAUAAGUUGGUUUAAUUUACAAUUGUAACCCUAACCCUAACCUCUGGCUACAAGUGGCUACAAAUACUGUAACCCUAACCUUCAGCUAAAAGUGACUAAAAGCCACAACCCUAACCCUAACCUCUGGCUAUAGGUUUUUACAAGAUGUAAUUGUAACCCUAAUCUGUGGCUACAAGUGGCUAAAAAUACUGUAACCCUAACCCUAACCUUUAGCUAAAAGUGGCUAAAAGCUGUAACCCUAGCCCUAACCUCUCGCCAUAAGUUGUUAAAAGCUACAAUCGUAACCCUAACCUUCAGCUAAAAGUGACUAAAAGCCACAACCCUAACCCUAACCUCUGGCUAUAGGUUUUUACAAGAUGUAAUUGUAACCCUAAUCUGUGGCUACAAGUGGCUAAAAAUACUGUAACCCUAACCCUAACCUUUAGCUAAAAGUGGCUAAAAGCUGUAACCCUAGCCCUAACCUCUCGCCAUAAGUUGUUAAAAGCUAUAAUCGUAACCCUAACCCUAACCUCUGGCUACAAGUGGCUACAAAUACUGUAACCCUAACCUUCAGCUAAAAGUGACUAAAAGCCACAACCCUAACCCUAACCUCUGGCUAUAGGUUUUUACAAGAUGUAAUUGUAACCCUAAUCUGUGGCUACAAGUGGCUAAAAAUACUGUAACCCUAGCCCUAACCUCUCGCCAUAAGUUGUUAAAAGCUACAAUCGUAACCCUAACCCUAACCUCUGGCUAUAGGUUUUUACAAGAUGUAAUUGUAACCCUAAUCUGUGGCUACAAGUGGCUAAAAAUACUGUAACCCUAGCCCUAACCUCUCGCCAUAAGUUGUUAAAAGCUACAAUCGUAACCCUAACCCUAACCUCUGGCUACAAGUGGCUACAAAUACUGUAACCCUAACCCUAACCUUCAGCUAAAAGUGGCUAAAAGCUGCAACUGUAACCCUAACCUCUAGCUAAAAGCCAUAACCCUAACCCUAACCUCUGGCUACAAGUGGCUAAAUAUACUGUAACCCUAACCACUGGCUAAGAAUAUUCACUAUCAUACAAUAUUGAACAGACCAGCAAAAUAUUCAGUGUUUAGAAGUAUUUAUUUGAGUAAGAUGAUCUUCUAUUAGUUCCACAUUCGGGAAAUUCAGUGUUGCAGCAACAAAAACAGACAAAGGCAUGAUAUAGACAAGACAAUAUAUAACAAUAUACAAAAAUAAACAAUAUGAACAGUAUUAUCAGGACAUCUACCUAUGACACAGAAAUAUACCAAAAUGAAAUGACAAGCCCAAAAUCUAACUUAACCCACAAACAUUGUGAAGAGGUAUGAAUAAGCAUGUCUGCUUUAAGGUACAUAGCAAUACAUAGUACAUAGCAAAGCAUCCAAAAAUGUCAUAGUUUAGUAAGGCAUGAAAAAAAAAUGUCAUAGUAUAGUAUGGCUUCAAAAACCAUCAAAAAAUGUCAUAGUAUAGUAUAGCGUCAAAAACCAUGAAAAAAUGCCAUAGUAUAGUAUGGCAUCAAAAAUUGUCAAAAAAUGUCAUAGUUUAGUAAGGCAUGAAAAACAGUCAAAAAAUAUCAUAGGAUAGUAUAGCGUCAAAAAAUGUCAUAGUAUAGUAGGACAUCAAAAACCAUGAAAAAAUGUCUUAGUACAGUAUGGCAUCAAAAAUUGU